UUUGGGAUGAGCCUGAAAACAUAUUAUAAGACUUCUUGGGAAGAGGGGGAAUCUUGCUUUGUGAAAAACUUUGAUAGCACUUCGGCAUUCUCACUUUGCAGCCACAAAAACUAUUGAAGACAGGUUAAACUGGUGAAUGGUUUACCUGAACCCUCUGAGUUCUGAUAAAGUUUGAGGAGUGCUUGAAUGGGGACAAGAAUAAAAAAGCUGAGAGAAUGAAUUCAAAUGGAAGCUAUGAAAUAAUUUUUUGGUUAAAGACAUUUCUUGAUAUGAAUCCUACAAGCAUGUCAGAUCAAUACCUGUUGAGGCAUCUGCAAAUCUUUAAAUAUAAUAUUGUGAACGCUCCUGAGGUUUGUAGCGGAUGUUGGCAGAUACUGGAAAUUUGAUAUUGUUAGUGAAACUAUAAAUUACACGUGAUAUGGAUGAUGUGCUACAUAGGGUUUCUGUUGGGUUGGAAAAUCCAUAGAUUGAACAAUUUCUUGAUUGUGAUUGAUGUCUCUUAACCUG
rnacentral:misc_RNA from 1 species